AAAAGUUAAAAUAAAUUAAAAAGACGAGAAGACCCUAUAGAGUUUUAUAAUUAAUUUAGUUGAGAUUAUUUAUAUAAAAAAAAUUAAGAUUAAAUUAAUUAUUUUGUUGGGGUGAUAGAAAAAUAUAAAUAACUUUUUUUAAAUUAAAACAUUUAUAAGUGAUUAAAUGAUCCAAUAUUAUUGAUUAUAAGAAAUAAUUACCUUAGGGAUAACAGCGUAAUUUUUUUUUUUAGUUCAAAUAAUAAAAAGAGUUUGCGACCUCGAUGUUGGAUUAAGAUAAAAUUUAAAUGCAGAAG
rnacentral:rRNA from 1 species